UCAUUUGCUAUAUUAAUUUUUUAUUACAACUUUUUAAUCUUAGGAUUGUGUACAUCUUCUACAAUUAUUAAAUUUUAAAAAUUUUAACUUCUUACUAAUACUUGUGUAUGCAUUUUUCAUUAAUUGCAAUUUUUCUUAUUACAACUUUUUAACCUUAGUUCCAUGUUCAUCUGCAACAACUGUUUCACCUGCUCAAACUUCUGCUGGUAAAUUUAUGUGUUAAAAAUGUAUCUGAAUGGUUAUCAAAUUUGUUUAAUACAUUUAUAUUGUGUUCUCAU